GCCCGGCACACUCAGCGUAGCUGCGAUGCAAUCACUGGCGACCUCUGCAGAUUAGCGUAAUCAGCUCUCACAGCUUGUGUGAAAUUAUAUUGCUCCGAAUGAAAGGAAACGGAUGGAAUUCAAUGGAAAGGAUCCAGCGGCACAGCCCAAAUACAUUGGGGGGAAGAGAUGUCAUUAACACAGUGAGCAGACACUGUGUGAAAAGCCCAGCAUCUUCAGGGAUCAUGUACCUGCCUUUCACUGACUCCUCAGGCAUGCAUCCCUAAUGGAAAGUUUCAACCAAGCAAAACACCCAGACAGGACAAAGUAAUAUAGCCAUGGAGAACAUUAAAAUAACAAUUGUGGACUCCUUGAAAUGGAAAAAGCCUACAUUAAAUUUAGCGUUACCACACACUGCUCAUCAUUCAUGGCUGCCAAGGUUAUGAGAGAUGCCACCUCCAGCAGCGUUUCUUGGAGCCCUUAUGGUAUAUUUUCCAUCUCAAACACAGCAUGUGUAGUGUGAGUAGGGUCAUCUUCACUGGAUUGCAUCGCAAGCUUGACUGGUUUACAAUGGCCUCCUGUUUGGAUAUUGUUGCUAUUGCACUACUGUCACAGAUCGCUGGUCACAGUGAAGGGUGACAACAUGGAGGCCCCUGCCAGACAACACUCAUAAAUCCCGAAUGAUGCAGAUUGAAAAAGUGGUUUUCUGCUUGUCUCACAUGCAGCCUUGCGCUGAAUCUUUAUUUCUCUUUUUCUUUUUACAGACACUCUGUUAGAGGACUUUCAAUGCUGUGUAGAGUGUGUACGUGUAUUUGUGUGUGACUGUGUGUGUGCGUGUGUUGCAUCAUGCCAUAGUUGCUCUGUAAUUAUUUUUAAAUUAAUAACAGUAUUAUGAUUAUGUAAUUAAAAUGCUGCAAACUGCAGAUAUGGUUCAGGAAACAAAUCCUGAAAAUAAAAUAAAGUCCUGUAAAAGUUACCACCUGCAUAAUUAUCGUAUAACAAUAAAUGUAAAUUCAAUGUCAUUCUAUAGUAUCUGUGCAACUUGUAAAGUAAACAGGAAA